rnacentral:lncRNA from 1 species
AUGGAAUCCCAUCUUUGGGUCUCCGGCUCCCUGCCCUCCUUUCUCUCUGGGGGAUGGGAAUGGGGGGGGGCAGGGUGGAGAGCGGGGCACAGGCCACACAGCAACAUCCUUAGGGCACCCAGGGCCUCCCCCCAGGGUCCAAGGAUGAGUUCCGUAGGUGGACUAGCCCCCGCCCUGCCUCUUCCAGCCAGCAGGGGGCGUGCUGGAGACAAGACCUUUUGUUUUGGGAGAUCUUUGUUCCUUAGGAAAUUACAUCAGGCGUUAGUAAGGUCAUCACCUGUUGAACUGUGGCUAAACUGUGGUGAUUAUACUAGCUAAUAAUUUUUAAAAUGUGGUGUGUGGAGGCCUAACCCAAGUUUCUGAUUCAGUGCUUCUGGGAUGGGGGAGCCAAGAAUCUCCAUUUCUGACAAGUUCCCUGCUGUUUUGAGAUCCACGCUUUGAGAACUAGUGGUCAAACUGUUACAGGUAAUACUUUCACGGCCAGUGAUUGGCUCAGGAAUGAGCAUGUGACUCCAUUCUGACCAAUGAGUGCUAAGCAGAGGCCUGCUGGAGCCCUUCUAGGAAAGAGCGUCAUGGCUUUCUUCCUGCCUUGGGAUGCUGUGCUCUGGAUGCAAUGCCUGGAGCUGCCUCUGCCACCUGGCAGCCCUGAGGGGAGCCAUCCUGGGGCCACAGUCUGCACCCUGGGGAAGGCAGAGCCUGGGCGAGAGAGAAGCUGGGUCCUUGAGACCUUGUCGAUUAGUUGACACCAGGCUGCUCCCGGCCCUUCCCCGACAGCUCCAGCUCUGGAGACGGCAAAGUCCCUUAUUGAUAAAGCCGCAUUGAUUCAAGGUCUCUGUCACUGCAGCCAGAAAAACCUAAACCUGUUUACCAAUAUGCAAUUUGCAAAUGCUUCGACAGAUGCUAGAAUGGAAACAGACCCUGGACGUAGUCCAGCUCACCUCGGUGCUUCCCGAAGCUUUUCGUGGACCGAGCUGGGGGUGACGUCGGGAUUGAGGGUGGGAGGGAACCGGGAGCUCUCUCCGUGUGCCCAAGUUUCAAGGUUAGGAUGCCGAGUUCAAGGCACAGGGACCCCUUGACAGCCAAGGUCAGCAAGGCCUUGUGUACCUGCAGUACCCAGUGCAAAGUCUAAGUCUUUCUGGGAACAGAUGCCCCUCAGUUAUUACGGGAUCAGAGAGGAGCGGGUCUGGCUCGGGGGAGGGGACCUCUCUCCGCUCUUGUAAGCCUCCCUGGAGUGGGUGGAGGAAGCGGGGCUGCUUCCUAACCCAGGGCACGUGGGGAGACUACUUUCCAGUCUUCCAGGAGAAUUAAGAGGGAUCUACGCUCCUGGGCACGGCUUAAGGAGACAAAUAAACCCCCGGUUAUUGGAUUAGCA